rnacentral:misc_RNA from 1 species
AUUCUAUUUGAAUAAG